AUGACAAAGACCAAGGAAGACCAAGAAACUGCAAAGGAGAGCCAAACUACGGCUAAGAACGUCAGUCCAGUAUGUGAGAAGUUUACUAUUCAGGUUAGUGGCACCAUUCAGGAGCGCCAAGGAAAGAAAGUGGCCACUGUCAUUCUCGACACAUGUGUGCCACCAUCAGAAAAAGUGGUUACUUGUAUUUCAUCUCCUCAUGCUGAACCUUUGGAUUCGGUCCUUACACCUAUUUUAACCAUGACUACACCUCCACAUUCUGAUUUACAGGAGCCUAAAGAUAGAUCUAAACAGUCCCCAAAACAAAACAUUACCCAGUCUACACAAAGAGACCUAAGUGCAGUGCCUCAAACAAAGCCAUCUCUCUCCACCAAGCCUACUGACACUACACGUUUGGCAGACUGCACGGACAAGUUAUGGGAAAAUACAGGUGAGAUCCAGACGAGAUAUCUGGUCCUCGAUGUGCCAGAGAUAGGUGUCACCCAGACAUGUGAGAUAAAGCAAGAUCAGCCAGAGACUGUGGCUCAUAGUGACUCUCCUCAACCUACUUCUGCUGUUUUUGCAGUGGCGCAGCCUUGUAAGGCAGAGACCAAAUUUUCCAAAAUAAGCUCAUCUGUGCAGGACAUAAUGAAACCAAGUGGAACUGUGAGUCAGCUGAAACUCACACAGGAAAGACCCAAAGAAGAUAAGGAUUAUGAUGUCCAGAAAGAGCAUGGUAAAGUGUCGACACAUGGCGUGCAUGAUGCACCCAAGAGUCUAGAUGAAAAGUCUGUAAAGGCAAUUCACAUGGGGCCUGAAGUGCGCAUUUUACAACUAGAUAUACAGACCAGUCCAGAUGAGUAUGAAAACACAUCUGUUACAAGAUCAGAUAGGAUCAGACCAGUUAUAACAAAUAUCCAGAGCAAAAGCGUGCCAGAAAACAAAGAUGUGACUACUGCUGAUGUUAAACCAGAGAAGACUGCCGUUAAGAUGACUACAAUAGAAGUGCGAGAAAGUAGUACUGAAUGUCAAGACAAUGUGGCUCAAAGGGACACUGCCCAACACUCUCCUGCUUGUGAAGCAUUGCCACCAGAUGUGGAAUGGACAGAAUUUGUAGAAAUAAGCAUAUCUGAGCAAGAUAUGGUGAAAACAAGCCAAACUGAGACUCAAAGAGGUCUCUUAAAAACCCCACUGGAAAGAUCCAAAGUUGUCAAGGAACAUGGUGUAAAAGGACAGCUCCCUACACUGUCGCCACAUGCCAUGGAAGAUGUACCCAAAACCUUGGAUGAAAAAUUUGUUACGAUGGAGAAAAUCCACAGACGGCCUGAAGUGUGCAUCCUUAAACCAGAUUUACCGACCAGUCUGAAGAAGGAUGAAAACACGUCUCUCACAAGAGCAAAAGAGCAGAAGAUAGAUAUUGUGCAAAGAAGUAUCCCGGGUGAAAGAGUGCUGAAAAACAAAGAUGUUACAACUGCCGAUGUUAAACCAGAGAAAGCAUCCGUUGAAAUGACUAAGGGGCAAGAAAGCAGUACUGAAUGUCAAGACAAUGUGCCUCAAAUGGACUCUGCUUCUGAAUCAUUGCAACCACAUGAGAUAGAGACAGAAUUUAUAGAAAUAAGCUUAUAUGAUCAAGACAUAGUAAAACCAAGUCAAACUGACACUAAGAUAGGACUCUUGAAAAUUGCACAAGAUAGACCUACAGAGGUCAAGGAACAUGAAGUCCAAAAAAAGCAUCUUAAAAUGUCAACACAAGGUAUGCACGAUGUACCCAAGAGCAUGGAUGAAAAGUCUGUAAGGAUGGAGAAAACCCACAUGGAGCCUCAAGUUCGCACCCUACAACUAGAUAUACCAACCAGUCUGGAGAAGGAUGAAAACGCUUCAGUCAGUGCUAAAGUGUCAACAAAAGACGUGCAUGAUUCACCCAUGAGCCUUGAUGAAAAGUCUGUUAGGAUGGAUGAAGUCCACAUUUUACAACCUGGUACACAGGCCACUAUAAAGGAGCAUGUAAUCACAUCUAUAACAAUAGCACAGGCACCAAGGAUUGAUAAAGAUCAGACAAGUAUCCAGGGCAAAAGAAUGCCAGAAAACAAAGACCUGACUUCAGCUGAUGUUCAGGCAGAAAAGGCUGCAGUCAAGAUGACCAUCGCCGAAGAUAAGACCAAGGUAAAACCCAAAGAGGUCGAGGAUCAUGACGUGAAGGAAAUGCCUACCAAAGUAUCGACAAAAGAUGUGCAGGAUGCUCCUCAGGGCCUGGAUGAAAAGUCUGUUAGUAUGGAGAAAAUCCGCGAAGGGACUGAAAUGCGCAUUUUACAACCAGGUACACAGGCCACUAUAAAGGAGCAUGAAAUCACAUCUGUUACAAUGGCAAAAACAGCAAGGAUUGAUAAAGAUCAAACGCGUAUUCUGGGGGGAAAAGGGCGAGAAAACAAAGACCUGACUUCAGCUGAUGUUCAGCCAGAAAAGGCUGCAGUCAAGAUGACCAUGGCCGAACUGAAGACCAAGGAAAAACCCAAAGAGGUCAAGGAUCAUGACGGGCAAGAAGUGCAUACUAAAGUGUCUGCAAAGGACGUGCAGGAUGCACCUCAGGGCCUGGAUGAAAAGUCUGUUAGUAUGGAGAAAAUCCGCGAAGGGACUGAAAUGCACAUUUUACAGCCAGGUACACAGGCCACU
rnacentral:lncRNA from 1 species